rnacentral:rRNA from 1 species
AACGAACGCUGGCGGCAGGCCUAACACAUGCAAGUCGAGCGAGGCCUUCGGGCUUAGCGGCGGACGGGUGAGUAACGCGUGGGAACGUGCCCUUUGCUACGGAAUAGCCCCGGGAAACUGGGAGUAAUACCGUAUGUGCCCUUCGGGGGAAAGAUUUAUCGGCAAAGGAUCGGCCCGCGUUGGAUUAGGUAGUUGGUGGGGUAAUGGCCUACCAAGCCGACGAUCCAUAGCUGGUUUGAGAGGAUGAUCAGCCACACUGGGACUGAGACACGGCCCAGACUCCGACGGGGAGCAGCAGUGGGGAAUCUUGGACAAUGGGCGCAAGCCUGAUCUAGCCCUGCCGCGUGAUCGAUGAAGGCCUUAGGGUUGUAAAGAUCUUUCAGGUGGGAAGAUAAUGACUGUACCACCAGAAGAAGCCCCGGCUAACUCCGUGCCAGCCGCCGCGGUAACAC